CAUGACUUCAAAAUGCAGCUCCACCGUGGGGUCUGGGGUGACACAGCUGCCAGGCCCAGAAGCCCGCAGAGGAGAGGGGGCCGCACCAGUAAUCACACAAGGCUUCCCAUGGUCUCCGGGGACCCACACUCGAGGGUACACAUGGGAACUGCAGGGGCAGAGCUCAGGGGACCGCAGCGCACAGAGCCGGUUCCAAGUGGGCUCGAUACAACUACGUCCAGGAACGUGGAGGUGCUGAGGAUGUUAACUCAGAGAGGACACGGGAUGCGGAAUGCCCAUGUCUGGAAGACCUGCUCCUCUUUCUUCCUGAGACCUCGGCCCCUGAAGGCAGAAGAUUUGCUUUUGGAGAAGCGGUAUCUGCCAUGUAAUUGCUGUGGAAGUCAGCAGCAAUAAGAGAAAUGAAAAAAUACAUAUAAUGAACCAGUCAGUGGAAAAGAAAAAAGUACCAUUGUCUCACGAGUUUCUCAAACAUUUAUUUUUUAGGCGGUGGUAGCUGUGGGACCAGCAACCCGUGGUACCUCUGUAAGCGCUCCUGCGUGACAGACGGAGAGAUUGCUCUCUCCUGUCCUGGCUUCCGAGGAAGCUCAGCAGUCUCUGGGCCUUUAUAAGGCUCAAUUAAUGGACAGCAAAGUAAGAAGAUGGAGUCAGGAAUAUUCUCAAGUAAAUACACUUGACAGCCACUGCAGAGGGGGGCACGCAGGAUACUCAGGCAGCUUCGGAGUCUGAGUGUAGGUACAGCGAGCUUAUGGAACAGCGGAACUCAGAGACCCGAUUCCGACAUAAAUACCCUUAUUCAAAUGCCUCAGACACACUGUUUCUCUAAACACAGAGACUUGAGGCCCCACAGUUUUUAUGCUAGAGCAAAAGAUUUGGGUCAGAACCAAAGUUUUAAAGACUUUUUAUUGAAGAAGUUCAAAGAUUCCUUGGCCAGCAGCCAAGUGUGGUCUGAUUUGUUCGCAUUUCCUCUGGGAACUCACAGGCAAGCGAGGAAAUGGCCAGCAUUGAUGAUGAGGGUCCCCCGGUCCCCCAGGGGCCUUUUCUCCCUGGGCGGCACCGAGCGGGGGAGGAGAGCCGGGAACCCGGUGCUGACAAAGGCCGAGCUCACAGCCUGGCUAAGCCGCAGAUCUCUCCUGGGGGGAAGAGUCUGUCCCGAUACACCAGCCCGGCCUGGAUUAACCCCCCAGGAGCCCUCAGCCCUGCAAGGGAGAGACUGGCAGUGAAAUACCACUGCUUCUCCCCGUCUCAGGCAUUUUUUUCGUUGCUGAGGCAUAAUAUCCAACUCCUACAAUUUGAAGGAGGUCUGUUUUGGCUCAUGUUUACAACCUGUGGUCAGCCAGCUCCCAGUCAGGAGAGCAUGGCAGAGGGGCACGCACAGGGGAGCUGCUCCUGGCGUGGCACACAGGAAGCCGAGAGCCAAGGGAGGAGCCAGGAGGGCAGGCAAACCCUUCCGGGUCACACCCUCCAUCCACUCACCUCCUGAAGGUCCCGCCUAUGAGCACAUGCGGCUUUAGGGGACGUCUAGACAGAAACCCUAACACUGGCUCCCCCGGUGAGGGCAAAGGACCUGCUCUAGGCCCACAUUAGCCAAGUGAGCUAAUGGGCCAGUACUUCCUGCAAGUCCUUGGUGAUGUUUAGUUAAGCAUCUUUCACACAGUCUUGUUAUCUGCAGUUAACUCUGCGGGAGGGGAAUUUAUCAACUGGAUUUAGCUCUUUAAAAGGCAAAAGAAAAGCUUUUGCUCUGGUUUGGGGAGUCAGGAAAGAAGGCGCGUGUGCGUUCAUAUCCUUGUGUGCACAUAAACAGGAUGAAGGUCUCUGCCUUUCUCGGGAGAUGGAUCUCGUUGGUAGAAAACCAGGCAAAAGCCAGAGAGGAUGUGAUUUUAAUUUUUUUUUUUCUUUUUUUUCCCGGUAUUGGGAAUCGAACUCACGACCUUGCGCUUGCGAGCUAAAUCCCUGAGGAUGUGAUUGAGAACAGAUUUCUGAAGAAGACCACUGGAAAGCCUUUUGUCAGCCUACUUGGAAAAGACUGCUUCACUGGAUAAUGAAUUGGAUUCUCUCCUAAAAACCCGCAGCGCUGAAGUGCGUGGUGCUGCUCUCCCGUGGUGCUCAGGGCCUGCUGCUCCUGCGUGGAGGGAGCCGGAUCGCUGCCUGAGGACGGCCCACGCUCUUCCUUUGGGGUGACACAGAGCCCAAGAAAGCUCCCCUGCCCUGGCACAAUCUAAUUGCCACUGCUGCGGGGCCUCCGCACUGUGCCAACUCUGGCUCCGACCCAGCCCCUCCUUGCGCUGAGAGCCAAACCCGACUCCCUGUGCUUGGCACUAGUCCAGAAGGCCUCAGCAGUCAGCUAAGUGGAGCUCCUGGGUGGGCCGCAGGGCCCUCUUCCUCACGUCCUGCCUUGCCCGGCCCUGGAGGGCAGUAGGAAUGGUGAGGUUAGAGGUACACCGAGCUGUGUGGCUCUGCUCAGCUUCCCUUUCCUGGGACGGGAAGGAAUCGGAUGCUGUCACAUCUGAGAGCCAUGUGCCUCUCUCUCCAGGAAUGAGCUCCUGGGAUUUGGGACCCACACAAGCUCUCUGGAGGCCUGGGCCUUGCAGGAGAGGAGGCCGCGUUGGGACCGAGGCUGGCAGGUACAACUGACCUCUCUUCUUGGCAAGUUUCUCCUUUUUCCUUCCAUGGGGGUCCCAUCCCUGCUGUGUCUGCAGUGGACAGUCUUUUAGUAUGAGACCUCCAGGAUAGGUUGGUCAAUUCUUUGAUUUGAUGUGUAGCUGGUAGCUUUUCUUGGCCAGUUUUCUUCCAAAGGCUCGAUGGAGGAUGGAAGCCCACGGGCACAUAUAGCAGAGACGGUUCUGCCUCCAAGGCGCUGGCCCACUGCUCAGUCUUUGUGCUCCCAUAAGUGGGUCACUAUCAAGGGCCAGGGGACACCCAUCCUUCACACGCCACGGCCGUGCUUCCUGGACCAAGCACCCACGGACCCCGGGGCACGCCAGCGGACCCGCCAGGGACACCAGACCUAGCCUGGGAGGCACAUUAAGCUACAUUCUGUCCUGUCAUGUGAGGUACUCAAUUAGCACGAGCGACAUAAACACAAAGAGAAACCCAGAUCCGCAAACAGAUGGCGCUGCUUGGCUAUAAGGUCAUUCCUGCAUGAUUCAGAACGCACUUAUGUUGGUUUCAACUUUUUAAAAAGUUGUCCAAAUGAAACAAAAAUUAAAGGUUCCUGUAGAACAAAAGGACUCCAUGCGUCUCCCAGCCCCAGAACUACAGGGAUCUGUAGAUGCUAUUUUGAGAAAUAACAAGCAAGAGGCUGAGGCCAGGCCUGGCUGGGGCUGUGGCUCUUGUAGCAGGUCAGGCUGCACAAAGGGAACCCACUGGCCACUGCGCUGGGUUGGGACAGCCUCGGUGACCCUCUUCUCCAAGGCCAUUGACAUCUGGGACAUUGUUGGACAGCUCCAGCUAUCGAGAUACCUUUAUAGCCAGAGCGAGCUGAUCUAGAAUUUUCACUGAUUGCUUAUGGUCUUGACCUCUGAGGUCAUACUGAAUUUUUUUAAAUCCCCAGAGACACUGGGUGGAGAGUACAGAGCCCUGAUUUUAGUUCCUUGCUUUUCAAAUCUAAAUGCACUCAAGUUCAUCAGAGCAGCUUAUGAAUGUACUGAUUUGCUCCUGAAAAAAUACACAGAUGGGGAAGAAGGGAGUUUGGAGAAGCACAGAUGGGGAAGUCUCAUUUCGGUUUGUCUCUGAGCAGAGACCUGGAGCCACGGAGGGGUCAGUGACUCAGGGCUGCAAACACAGCAAGGGGGGAGUGACACAGACACAGAGGGACGGUUGAAGACCCGGGGACAUUGCCAGAUGCCUGAGACAGGCUGCCGCCGCCAUCCCUACGUGAAACGAGUCACGCCGAACUUGAAGGGCUGAGCCACGCACUGUUCUCCGAGAUUGUGAGCCAUGUCCCUCCCCUAGGCCCUUCCAUCCUGCUAUUUCUGCCACUGACAGAGCCAACCAUGGACUGCAUCCCCCAAACUGUGAGUCAAAUUAAACCCUGCCUCUUUGAACUUACAGCUAUCAGGUGCUAUGUCUCAGCAACGGGAAAGCUGACUAAUACAGAAGUGUUCCUUGGGAAGAAGAAAAAGUUCCUUGAUUAAGUAAGUUUGAAAAACACUGACUAUUAAGCAAAGUGAAAUAAACUCUUCUCUGUGAGAUUUUUAAAACCUUUCUAUACUAUGUUAGUGUGUUUUAUUGACACCCAGAGAGGCAUAUGUGUGAUAGGCAGAGUAUCCGCUCCUCCAAAGAUGUCUGCAUCCCCGUGCUGUGGAACUGGUGGGCAUCUAGUGUAUGGCCAAUGACAUGUUUCAAAUGUGAUUAAGUGAAGGCUGUGGGAUGGGGGAUCAUCCCGACGGUCCAGAGGGCUGGGCAGCCAUAGGCUGUGAUAAGUGAAGGAGGGAGGCAGGAGAAAGAGGCAAGGUUAGGGGGAUGUGGCUGCUGGCCCUACAGAUGAAGAGGAAUGCUGGCUCUCUGGGAACUAGAGGAGGUGAGAGAAAGGACUCGCCCUGACAGGCUUCAGAAGCUCCCACCAACGCCUUGGCCUUGGCCUGUAAACCAACCCGUUCCAGAGGUCUGAUCUCUAGAAACACGAGAUGCAAAUGGUGUUUUCAUCCACUAAAUUGGUUAAUUGGACUUUUUUUCUUUCUUUUUCUUCCGGUACUGGGAAUUGAACUGCACUUGCGAGGCAGGCGUUUAUGC